rnacentral:rRNA from 1 species
GAUGAACGCUGGCGGCGUGCCUAAUACAUGCAAGUCGAGCGAACAGAUGAGGAGCUUGCUCCUCUGACGUUAGCGGCGGACGGGUGAGUAACACGUGGAUAACCUACCUAUAAGACUGGGAUAACUUCGGGAAACCGGAGCUAAUACCGGAUAAUAUAUUGAACCGCAUGGUUCAAUAGUGAAAGACGGUUUUGCUGUCACUUAUAGAUGGAUCCGCGCCGCAUUAGCUAGUUGGUAAGGUAACGGCUUACCAAGGCAACGAUGCGUAGCCGGCCUGAGAGGGUGAUCGGCCACACUGGAACUGAAACACGGUCCAGACUCCUACGGGAGGCAGCAGUAGGGAAUCUUCCGCAAUGGGCGAAAGCCUGACGGAGCAACGCCGCGUGAGUGAUGAAGGUCUUCGGAUCGUAAAACUCUGUUAUUAGGGAAGAACAAAUGUGUAAGUAACUAUGCACGUCUUGACGGUACCUAAUCAGAAAGCCACGGCUAACUACGUG